rnacentral:rRNA from 1 species
CAGCAGUAGCCGCGGUAAUACGGAGGGUGCAAGCGUUAAUCGGAAUUACUGGGCGUAAAGCGCGCGUAGGCGGUUACUCAAGUCAGAGGUGAAAGCCCGGGGCUCAACCCCGGAACUGCCUUUGAAACUAGGUGACUAGAAUCUUGGAGAGGUCAGUGGAAUUCCGAGUGUAGAGGUGAAAUUCGUAGAUAUUCGGAAGAACACCAGUGGCGAAGGCGACUGACUGGACAAGUAUUGACGCUGAGGUGCGAAGCGUGGGGAGCAAACAGGAUUAGAUACCCCCGUAGUCCCUGUCUCUUAUACA